rnacentral:tRNA from 1 species
GCUUUCAUGGGGUAGUGGUCAGCACGCUCGACGCACAUUCGAGAGGUCCGCGGUUCGAGUCCCGACGAAGGCG